AGCGAACGCUGGCGGCAGGCCUAACACAUGCAAGUCGAACGGAUCCUUCGGGAUUAGUGGCGGACGGGUGAGGAACACGUGGGAACGUGCCUUUUGGUUCGGAACAACUCAGGGAAACUUGAGCUAAUACCGGAUGUGCCCUUCGGGGGAAAGGAUUUAUCGCCAUUAGAGCGGCCCGCGUCUGAUUAGCUAGUUGGUGGGGUAAAGGCUCACCAAGGCUACGAUCAGUAGCUGGUCUGAGAGGAUGAUCAGCCACACUGGGACUGAAACACGGCCCAGACUCCUACGGGAGGCAGCAGUGGGGAAUCUUGCGCAAUGGGCGAAAGCCUGACGCAGCCAUGCCGCGUGAAUGAUGAAGGUCUUAGGAUUGUAAAAUUACUUUCACCGGGGACGAUAAUGACGGUACCCGGAGAAGAAGCCCCGGCUAACUUCGUGCCAGCCGCCGCGGUAAACCACGACAGCGUA
rnacentral:rRNA from 1 species